UACGGAGGGUGCAAGCGUUGUCCGGAAUUAUUGGGCGUAAAGAGCUCGUAGGCGGUUUGUCGCGUCUGCUGUGAAAACGCGAGGCUCAACCUCGCGCCUGCAGUGGGUACGGGCAGACUAGAGUGCGGUAGGGGAGAUUGGAAUUCCUGGUGUAGCGGUGGAAUGCGCAGAUAUCAGGAGGAACACCGAUGGCGAAGGCAGAUCUCUGGGCCGUAACUGACGCUGAGGAGCGAAAGCAUGGGGAGCGAACAGG
rnacentral:rRNA from 1 species